rnacentral:rRNA from 1 species
GACGAACGCUGGCGGCGUGCUUAACACAUGCAAGUCGAACGAUGAACCUCGAAAUGAUUUCUUCGGAAAGAUUUUUGAGAGGAUUAGUGGCGAACGGGUGAGUAACGCGUGAGCAACCUGCCUUAGACAAGGGGAUAGCCUCGGGAAACCGUGAUUAAUACCCUAUGAGACUCCACUUACGAGUGUAAGAGAAGUUAAAGCUAUUGCGGUCUAAGAUGGGCUCGCGUCUGAUUAGCUAGUUGGUGAGAUAAAAGCCCACCAAGGCGACGAUCAGUAACCGGCUUGAGAGAGUGAACGAUCACAUUGGAACUGAGACACGGUCCAAACUCCUACGGGAGGCAGCAGUGGGGAAUAUUGCACAAUGGGGGCAACCCUGAUGCAGCGACGCCGCGUGAGCGAUGAAGGAAUUCGUUUCGUAAAGCUCUGUCCUUGGAGAAGAUAAUGACGGUAACCAAGGAGGAAGCACCGGCUAAAUACGUG